rnacentral:rRNA from 1 species
UACAGAGGGGGCAAGCGUUGUCCGGAUUUACUGGGCGUAAAGAGCGCGCAGGCGGUCGUUCAAGUCGCGUGUGAAAGCCCCCGGCUCAACUGGGGAGGGUCACGCGAUACUGAUCGACUCGAAGGCAGGAGAGGGAAGUGGAAUUCCCGGUGUAGUGGUGAAAUGCGUAGAUAUCGGGAGGAACACCAGUGGCGAAGGCGACUUCCUGGCCUGUUCUUGACGCUGAGGCGCGAAAGCUAGGGGAGCAAACGGG